rnacentral:rRNA from 1 species
UCUCUCCUACGGGAGGCAGCAGUGAGGAAUAUUGGUCAAUGGGCGAGAGCCUGAACCAGUCAAGUCGCGUGAGGGAGUACUGCCCUAUGGGUUGUAAACCUCUUUUGUCGGGGAGCAAAAGCCGGACGUGUCCGUCUGUGAGAGUACCCGAAGAAAAAGCAUCGGCUAACUCCGUGCCAGCAGCCGCGGUAAUACGGAGGAUGCGAGCGUUAUCCGGAUUUAUUGGGUUUAAAGGGUGCGCAGGCGGAUUUUUAAGUCAGCGGUCAAAUCGUGGGGCUCAACCACAUCCAGCCGUUGAAAAUGGG